rnacentral:pre_miRNA from 1 species
GGGUGCAUGUGUGGUGUUCAGCACCAAGACAGGUGUGUUCGCCGAUGUGUACAUGUGUGGUGUUCAGCACCAAGUACAGGUAUGUUCGCCG